rnacentral:misc_RNA from 1 species
GGGGCAUGCACAUCUUCAUCACCUCAACCUCUGCAUAAGGUGUGUCAGCAUCAACAUGACUACCAUCAGACAUCAAAUAUCUCAGAAGUUUGCAGGGUGUCUCAGCAACUAACUUUGAUGGAUCAUGAUCAUUCUGUAGCAAGCAAGUUCUUCCAUCAAUUAGAAGGCGAGUUCCAGCUGCUUCCUCCUCUGCAUAUAUAACAUGACUGUUCCCGUCCAGCUGCAUCAACAGUCCUCCGUCACGCAGAGUAUGUGUUUCUGCUUCGAUCUCUGAUUCAUUCAUCCUCAAUCUGUAGCUUCCUG